GCAGCACACACUCCACAGUACCUUCCACCUGAGCUAUACACCUGAGCCUCACCUGAGCUUAUUACCUCAGCCAGCCAUGAAGGUCGCAUUUUUCUUCGCCGGGGUCCUUGUCCUCGUGUUCGUCGCCUCUUCCUUUGGGGCUCCUGACGUGUCAUCCCACGCCUCCUUCUCCUCGGGCUCCAGCUACGGACAUCGUCCAGUGCACAGGCCCAGACCAUACAAACCAGUGCACAAGCCCCGCCCCCACAGCAGCGGGUAUGGAGGUUCAGCCACUGGGAACGCAAACUUCAAUCUUGGUGGUCCUCGUUACCACCGCUAGGGAGGCAGUGAGGGAGUCGUGAAUCUUCCUUUACCUGCCUAACUGUUACUGUCUUUCAUUGUGGCCUCGUUUUGGGGUUUGUCUGCUCUCUGUUCUCUAUACUUACUUGCUACGUAGUUUUCUUAUUCUCCUGUUCUUUCAAUCCUUUCUGUUGUUUCGUUUUAUUCUCUGUUCUUUGCCUGUUUGUUAUUUUGUGUCGCAUUCCUACACGUCUUGCUCACAUCAGUGUUUCUUCAAAAUUUUACCUUUUUUAUUUCGUAUCUAAUAUUCUUCGAUCUCUCCUCUUUUUCCUUCCUCUUACAUGUUUAUGUUUAUGUUGUUGUUCACACCUGUUGCCUCAUUAUUAUUUCAUCAAAUCUUUCGGGUCGUGUCUCAGAUGUGAGUUUUCUCCAAAGUCCGACUUCUUUAAUUGCACACCUGUUGGCUAAUUGUUCUCUUUAUUUGUAUGUCUUCACCUGUCUGUCUCUUUUCGUUACAACACAUACGAAUAUAAAAAAAAGUUCAAUAUUUGCUACUUUUCGUUGGCAUAUUUGUUAAACUUUAGUUCUUGAUUAUUGAUUAUUUGUUAACUCAAUAUUUUGAUGUAACUCGAAAUUGUCCAAGAAUCCCAAUAUAAAAUAAAACUAUGAAAAUGCAA